CGCAGCCGCGGUAAUUCCAGCUCCAAUAGCGUAUAUUAAAGUUGUUGCAGUUAAAAGCUCGUAGUUGAAUUUCGGGGUUAGUAGGUUGGUCGUGCCACUGGUACGUACUGGUCUCACUGACUCCUCCUUCCUGAUGAACUGUAAUGCCAUUAAUUUGGUGUUGCGGGGAAACUGGACUGUUACUUUGAAAAAAUUGAGUGUUUAAAGCAAGCUAACGCUUGAAUACAUUAGCAUGGAAUAAUGAAAUAGGACGUUCGAUCCUAUUUUGUUGGUUUCUAGGAUUGACGUAAUGAUUAAUAGGGAUAGUUGGGGCAUUAGUAUUCAAUUGUCAGAGGUGAAAUUCUUGGAUUUAUGAAGACUAAUACUGCGAAAGCAUUU
rnacentral:rRNA from 1 species